UGUCUUUUUUAGCACAGAAAUAAUCUCAUCACUGUAACUCAGAGGGCAGUGAUUAGACUGGAUGCAACGUCCACUCUGCGGCCAAACUGAAGUGGAUUUCCCUUGCUCCUGCGGUGUGAUGGUUUAGUCACCACGUCCUGAACUACAGAGUACAUGUUUUUUAGAAGGCAUCUUUCAAGAGUACAAAGCAGCAGAUCUCUAAGACCGAACACCACAUCUCGGCACAGAAGAAGCCUGAUGACAAGAUCAAGUACCGAGUCUGUAAUUCCAAAG